CUUGCUUUUCCUGAUGACGAGUGGCGGACGGGUGAGUAAAGUUUGGGAAGCUACCUGAUAGAGGGGGACAACAGUUGGAAACGACUGCUAAUACCGCAUACAGCCUGAGGGUGAAAGCAGCAAUGCGCUAUCAGAUGCGCCCAAAUGGGAUUAGCUAGUAGGUGAGGUAAAGGCUCACCUAGGCGACGAUCUCUAGCUGGUCUGAGAGGAUGAUCAGCCACAUUGGGACUGAGACACGGCCCAGACUCCUACGGGAGGCAGCAGUAGGGAAUAUUGCACAAUGGAGGAAACUCUGAUGCAGCCAUGCCGCGUGUGUGAAGAAGGCCUUCGGGUUGUAAAGCACUUUCGGAGGGGAGGAGAAUGACGUUACCCUCAGAAGAAGCACCGGCUAACUCCGUGCCAGCAGCCGCGGUAAUACGGAGGGUGCAAGCGUUAAUCGGAAUAACUGGGCGUAAAGGGCAUGCAGGCGGUUAAACAAGUAGGAUGUGAAAUCCCCGGGCUCAACCUGGGAGCUGCAUACUAAACUGUUUAACUAGAGUAUUGCAGGGGGAGACGGAAUUCCAGGUGUAGCGGUGGAAUGCGUAGAUAUCUGGAAGAACACCAAAGGCGAAGGCAGUCUCCUGGGCAAAUACUGACGCUCAUAUGCGAAAGCGUGGGUAGCAAACAGGAUUAGAUACCCUGGUAGUCCACGCCGUAAACGAUGUCAAUUAGGAGCUUGUGCGAUAGUAUGGGUUCCGCAGCAAACGCGAUAAAUUGACCGCCUGGGGAGUACGGCCGCAAGGUUAAAACUCAAAUGAAUUGACGGGGGCCCGCACAAGCGGUGGAGCAUGUGGUUUAAUUCGACGCAACGCGAAGAACCUUACCUGACCUUGACAUAGUGAGAACCUCUCUGAAGGGAGAGGGUGCCUUCGGGAGCUCACA
rnacentral:rRNA from 1 species